AUGGGAUUUUUGCUCCUUGUAAUUUUCGCUGUAGCCGCUUUGGAAGGUGUCCGGUCCCAGGUGCAGCUGGUGGAGUCCGGAGGGGAUGUGAAAAAGCCCGGAGACUCUCUCCGCCUCUCCUGCAAAGCCUCCGGGUUCGACUUCAGCAGCUAUUACAUGAGCUGGGUCCGACAGGCUCCUGGCAAAGGACUAGAAUGGGUCGCUUAUCUCAACAGCGUUGGGGGUGAUAUACAAUACCUUGAUUCAGUGAAAGGCCGAUUCACCAUCUCCCGGGAUAAUCCCAAGAGUGAGCUGUAUCUGCAAAUGACCGGCCUGAAGCCCGAGGACACCGCCCGCUAUUACUGUCAUCAAGCCCCAGCUCUCCUCGGGCAACAAAGUGCCACCAACUGCCUGGAUGUGUCGGGCAGCGGCCCUCCGGGCUACAGCUACAAAGUCUGCCAUUACCCCGGAGUCUGCCAAGAGCCAGUUCAUGUUCCUAAAGCCCGAGUCCCCAGAGGAACAGCGAGAGCUGCCGAGAACUCGCCAGGGUCGGGAAGGAAGACCCUGGAGGCCAGUAACACCGUCAGUGCCACCAGCCAGGUAACCCUGCGCUGCAGUACAGCCGGUGGGGCUCAGUGA